rnacentral:rRNA from 1 species
UACGGGGGGGGCAAGCGUUGUUCGGAAUUACUGGGCGUAAAGGGCUCGUAGGUGGCCAACUAAGUCAGACGUGAAAUCCCUCGGCUUAACCGGGGAACUGCAUCUGAUACUGGAUGGCUUGAGUUUGGGAGAGGGAUGCGGAAUUCCAGGUGUAGCGGUGAAAUGCGUAGAUAUCUGGAGGAACACCGGUGGCGAAGGCGGCGGCCUGGGUUGACACUGACGCUGAGGCGCGAAAGCGUGGGGAGCAAACAGG